GGCGUGGGAAAGGCGGACCCCGCUCACCAUGGCGCGGACUCCGAGCUCGCCCCGCUCUCCUCGCUGCUCCCGGCAGCAGCUCUCAGCACGGUUCAGGGAACCCAGAGACAGCCUCAGUCCACGGCGGAGAUUUAAGGACAGAGUUCGGUGACGUGACGCGGCGCGGUGUUUCCACUCCUGGCACGGACCUGCGGCAGACCUGCCGAGAUGGGCGUUGCAGGAAAACUUGGGCCUGUUACUGUCCAGGCAAUGGCACCGGCCUAUUCUCAGGGACCUAGGAACGACUAUGUGCUCGCCUGCCGCCGCCAGCAGGUGCCCAGGAGCGUGCGUCGCUUAAAAAACAAGCCUGCACCCAAGCUAGGUGACCCCUCUGUUCCUUGUGCACGCCCCCUUUCUCUCCUCUUCUGUCCCCUCUCUUCCUGUCUGUCUGCCUGUCCACAAGUCCACUUACCUGCCUCUGCCCCUUUCCCAGGACCUCACUCCUCCUCCCCUCCCCCAAUAAACUUUCUUUACACCA